GGGCAUUUUGAAGGUGGUCUCUAUUGUCCUUGCCCAAGGAUGUUGGUCUUCCUUUUCUCAUAAUCACAACUUCUGCUGCUCUUCCUCUUUGGGAAGCUGAGUUCUCAUGUUGGACUGGUGUCAACGUUGUUGUGUACCAAGGAUCUCGAAGUGCUUAAGCCAAUAAGUUGGGGGGCGGUAGUUAUAGAUCAGUGUCAGGGUUUAGCCUUGUCAAUGCAUCACUCACAAAUUAAAAUGCUCAUUGCUGAUAUGAGAUUACUUAUUUUUCAUCAGGAUAAAUGUGCUACAAGGUUCAAUAGCUGCAGCGUUCUCUCUUUACUUGAUACGAAAUAUGACAAGGCAAACAAUGAGUUAAACACUGAUUCCGACUUAGAUCUAACUGAAUUCAAGAAAAGGCUUAAGCACUUUGUUGCAUAUGAGUGCAAGUCCUCAUCAUCGAAGUUUAUUGAAUAUUGGGUUCCUGUCAAACUCUCCAAUGAGCCAAUUGAGCAAUAUUGCACUUGCCUCUUUGAUAAUUUGCUCAUCUAUGAAGAAUGACUCACCAUGCUGCGUCGACAAUAUACUUAAAUAUACCAGGAAGACUUCCACUGUUUUCUCAGUGUUAUGAUCACCCUUACCUCAAAGAUAAAUCGCUGGAAGGCAUAGUUACGAAAGACAUUCCUUAAGAUCAGCGCUUUGAUGUUGAAAUUAAACUAAGUGGCAAAUUGGAACUCCUCAAUAAGAUUCUUCUGGAGAUCAAACAGCAAAGACAAAGAGUCCUCAUUCUUUUUCAGUCUCAUGAUGGCUCGGGUGUUUAUUCCAUUCGGAAUAUCUCGAGUGAUUUGAUUCCUAAGAAAUUUGGUGGGGAUUCAUGUAUGAACAUUAGUGGGAGUGGUCAAGGGAAGAUAGCUACGUUGAACAAAUACAACAACAUGGAAAGUGGGAUAUUUUCUUUGUUGAUGGAAACAAGUGCUUCUGUUCGUAGUGUGAUCAAGCUCUCAGGAAUAGAGAUAAUUUUAUCGUUUAACAGUGACUGGAAUCCAAAUAACGAUUUACGAUCCCUGCAGAAGAUUUUGUUUAAUUCAAAAUCGGAGCAUAUAAAUGUACUUCAUCUCUAUUCAUGUUUCACUGUUGAAGAGAAAGCUUUAAUGCUUGCAAUGCGAGGUAAGCAUGUUCGCAUAACGGGUAUAAACCAAGUAGCUUGCCAGGAGCUGCUAUCUUGGCGUGCCCCUUAUCUUUUCAAUGUACAAUCUUCAAUCUCAAAGUGAUCGUCUGAAGUUGCUGGUAUAGAUGAUAUCUUUGCGGAACUUUUAGGCUUAAUGUCUAGUAACCGUUAGAACAAUAAUCAUAACGGUUGCUCAAAGAUAGUGACAGUACAAGAGAAUGGAAGGACUUAUUCAGGUGAGAUACCCCUACUUGGUGAAGUGGAAAUGCAACAAACAGAUUCUUCUUUUGUGAGAUGAUUGUCGGAGAAUGAUCCACCCCACGAUUUCUGGAAAAAUCUGCUGCAUGAAGUGGCUCCUAAGUGGAAACACUACUUGCGUAGUUCAUCUCGAGGGGAGUAGAAGGAAAGUUAGACUCGGGGAACAAGUUUGUGAAAAAGAGGGCAAUAGAGUUCAUUUACUCCAAAGCCCAAUUUAAGGAAGCAACGCGAGUUGCAUGUCCAGGGUAACGAUACUUUAAGUCUCGGUUUCCAUUAGUACUCCUUUAUCAACAUACACUGACAUAUUUGUGUUUUGAUGCCAAUCCCAUUUUCUAAGAACAUCGCAUCCUUCUGCUGGUGAUAAGCAUAAAACAGACGUAUUGGUGCAGUAAAUGAUGCAGGUUUGAGAAGCAGAAACACACAAUCCCCUUAUGCAAACCCACUUCAAAUGGAGAUGGAGAAGAUACAAAAGGAGAGAACAAACUAAGAAAUUGCAAGAAGAUAUGGUUUGUCCUUCCGACCUCUGUUUUCCUGUGAAAAUUUUCUAAUGGCUGCCAAUCCAUCACCGAAUGUUGAAUUGCCUAGAGUGGAAGAGUCAGCUGCAGUUCGGUAAACAAGUGCAAGGGACACCUUGGUUGAAACGACCCCAACACCAACACCAAACUAUCAGCCUGUUAUUCUUACACCAAGUCAACCAUCGGUCCAAAAUUUGAGUAAUGCAGUGCGCCCUGGAGCAGGCUGUGAACAACGUAGACCGGCUCCACAUCUGAGACCUUUUAGAUGAUUCAUACAGCUGAUCCCAAUUUGAUUUGGCGGUCCAGCUCCCCGAUAAACGAGGAGGGUUGAAGUAGAUUGGUAUCCAGCG